rnacentral:rRNA from 1 species
UGCGCAGGCGGAAAAGUAAGUCAGUGGUGAAAUCUCUCGGCUCAACCGAGAAACUGCCAUUGAUACUGCUUAUCUAGAGUUUAGUUGAAGUGGGCGGAAUGUAGCAUGUAGCGGUAAAAUGCAUAGAGAUGCUACAGAACACCGAUUGCGAAGGCAGCUCACUAAGCUAAAACUGACGCUCAGGCACGAAAGCGUGGGGAUCAAACAGGAUUAGAUACCCUGGUAGUCC